GCAGAGGGAGAAUCACCCUGAGGACCAGAGUCUCCCCAGAGGCCACGAGACAGGGCGAGUGUCAAAGCUUGAGGUGCUACUGCCAUCUUCAGGGGACAGGCUGGAAACCGAGCCUGAGGAACACAUCUCAGGACCAGCAUCUCGUGCUCACAGCCCAGCCCACUGCUCCUUCACUGGGCUAUCUGGAAAAAGUGAACUAGCUUCUUUCAGGCCUCAGUUUCCCUAUUUUUCCCUCUGCCAGUCGCCCUUGGGUCUCCCUAUGUAGUCCAGGCUGGCCUUGAACUCACAGCAUCCUUCUGCCUCAGCUUCCCAAGUCCUGGGAUUACAGGAUUUCCCUGCCCCUGUGCCUACAACAGAGACCUGUGUGCAGCAGGAGCUCCGUAAGUGCUUGUUGUGUGAAUGAAUGAAUGGUUACUUUGCUCCCUAGUCUUUUUUUUAAAACAGGAAACAAGAUAAACACCCCAACUCUUCCCUCCCAGCAUCUGAGACUUUGAUUUUUGUUGUUAUUGUUUGUUUUGAUUUGUUUUUUGAAGCACAUUCCACUAAGUCACUCAAUUGCCCAGACUGGGCUGGAACUUGAGAUCCUCCUGCCUCAGGCUCCCGGGAUGCUGGGCUGACAGGCGUGAACCAUCACACCCAGCUGAGGCUCCAUUUUCUUUGUCUGCUACGUGGGCGUGAGGAUUAUUUGGACUGUUUGGAGGUCUCACACAGUAAGUGUUUGACCCAGCUGGGCCUUGAUGCCUGGAGGGGGCUGAGGAGCUACAUGGCGCGGAGUGUGAGGGCCAGGACAG